rfam:Cetobacterium somerae ATCC BAA-474 genomic scaffold Scaffold35, whole genome shotgun sequence.
GGGGAUGCAAAGGUUUCGACAGGGUUGUGAGGUUAUAGGUAGCAGGCCAGGUUGAUUGCUGUGAGAGAUCAACUCAUCGUUUAGAUGGAAACAGAAAUUACGCUUUAGCUGCAUAAUGUCAGCUCACCUCUGAACAUUCUCUUCUGUAGGAGCGUUCAAUCAAGGUGUCACUUAAAUACAGAUUACCCUAAACAAUUUCUCUAAGUUAUAGGGGACAUUUUAGAGGAUAGCUUUAGUUAGCCCUGUUUGCGGGAGUAACUAUUGCGAAUUCAAAUAGCAAACUAAGCUUGUAGAAGCUUAUGGCGCUUGCAAUUUUGGACACGGGUUCGAUUCCCGUCAUCUCCACCA